rnacentral:rRNA from 1 species
GUCCACGCCCUAAACUAUGAUUACUAGCUGUCGGACUUUCGGGUUCGGGGGCCAAGGGAAACCGAUAAGUAAUCCGCCUGGGGAGUACGAUCGCAAGGUUGAAACUCAAAUGAAUUGACGGGGGCCCGCACAAGCGGUGGAGCAUGUGGUUUAAUUCGAUGGUACGCGAGGAACCUUACCUGGGCUAGAAUGUGCGCGAAGGCAUCAGAAACGGUGCCGGCCCGCAAGGGACGCAAAGCAAGGUGCUGCAUGGCUGUCGU